GUAGCACAGAGAGCUUGCUCUCGGGUGACGAGCGGCGGACGGGUGAGUAAUGUCUGGGAAACUGCCUGAUGGAGGGGGAUAACUACUGGAAACGGUAGCUAAUACCGCAUAACGUCGCAAGACCAAAGUGGGGGACCUUCGGGCCUCAUGCCAUCAGAUGUGCCCAGAUGGGAUUAGCUAGUAGGUGGGGUAACGGCUCACCUAGGCGACGAUCCCUAGCUGGUCUGAGAGGAUGACCAGCCACACUGGAACUGAGACACGGUCCAGACUCCUACGGGAGGCAGCAGUGGGGAAUAUUGCACAAUGGGCGCAAGCCUGAUGCAGCCAUGCCGCGUGUGUGAAGAAGGCCUUCGGGUUGUAAAGCACUUUCAGCGGGGAGGAAGGCGGUGAGGUUAAUAACCUCAUCGAUUGACGUUACCCGCAGAAGAAGCACCGGCUAACUCCGUGCCAGCAGCCGCGGUAAUACGGAGGGUGCAAGCGUUAAUCGGAAUUACUGGGCGUAAAGCGCACGCAGGCGGUCUGUCAAGUCGGAUGUGAAAUCCCCGGGCUCAACCUGGGAACUGCAUUCGAAACUGGCAGGCUAGAGUCUUGUAGAGGGGGGUAGAAUUCCAGGUGUAGCGGUGAAAUGCGUAGAGAUCUGGAGGAAUACCGGUGGCGAAGGCGGCCCCCUGGACAAAGACUGACGCUCAGGUGCGAAAGCGUGGGGAGCAAACAGGAUUAGAUACCCUGGUAGUCCACGCCGUAAACGAUGUCGAUUUGGAGGUUGUGCCCUUGAGGCGUGGCUUCCGGAGCUAACGCGUUAAAUCGACCGCCUGGGGAGUACGGCCGCAAGGUUAAAACUCAAAUGAAUUGACGGGGGCCCGCACAAGCGGUGGAGCAUGUGGUUUAAUUCGAUGCAACGCGAAGAACCUUACCUGGUCUUGACAUCCACAGAACUUAGCAGAGAUGCUUUGGUGCCUUCGGGAACUGUGAGACAGGUGCUGCAUGGCUGUCGUCAGCU
rnacentral:rRNA from 1 species